rnacentral:rRNA from 1 species
GACGAACGCUGGCGGCGUGCUUAACACAUGCAAGUCGAACGCUGAAGCCCUUCGGGGUGGAUGAGUGGCGAACGGGUGAGUAACACGUGGGUAAUCUGCCCUGCACUCUGGGAUAAGCCUUGGUAACGGGGUCUAAUACCGGAUAGGACACAUCGCCGCAUGGUGUGUGUGUGGAACGUUCCGGCGGUGCAGGUUGAGCCCGCGGCCUAUCAGCUUGUUGGUGGGGUGAUGGCCUACCAAGGCGACGACGGGUAGCCGGCCUGGGAGGGUGACCGGCCACACUGGGACUGAGACACGGCCCAGACUCCUACGGGAGGCAGCGGUGGGGAAUCUUGCGCAAUGGGCGAAAGCCUGACGCAGCAACGCCGCGUGGGGGAUGACGGCCUUCGGGUUGUAAACCUCUUUCGACCGGGACGAAGGAUUCGUUUGACGGUACCGGUAGAAGAAGCACCGGCUAACUACGUGCCAGCAGCCGCCGUAA